AAAAAUGUUAAAAGCAUUAACUCUUUAACUCCCAGUGCACUACAUGAUAUGAUGUGGAAUACAGAUAACCAAAAAUCAUAAAACCAUGCAGGUGGAAAGAAAGCUAUAGAAGCAGAAAAAAUAGGCAGUGUUUCUAAGUCAGAGGAUGCAAGAAGAACAUGAAAGCUGACUACGCAAGAAAGACAAACAUGAUCAGCAAAUUGUCAGCCUGUUUAAGGGGAGAACAAGCAAUCUAACUCUUGCACUGUUGCUGUUGACAGGGGUGAAAUGACCUCAGGAGAGAGAAUUAAUAUUUUUGAACUAACAGAAUAAAAAAUUGCCUGUCUUUGAAAUGAAAGCUGUACAUGAAUGAAUAACAAGAAGUAAAGACAAUAUGUGGAGCAGAAGAACAACUGAAAAAUAAGAAUAACAUUUUACAGAUGUAUUUAUUAACAUUAUAUUCUCACGCAGAGAAUGCAGAAAAUUUAUGUUCAACGACUACUUGAAUCAUUACUUCAAAGCUUCAUCGUUAGCAGGCAAGCAAAAGUUAGUAUAGAGGGUAAGUAUUGUGGUACAAUUAUCUACAAAGAAUAUCAAUUGAUUAUUUUCUCAUUACUAUCUGUAAAGUACCAGAAUUUCACAAAUGUAUCAAAGACAAAUAAGUCCUCUAAUACUAUCGCAACAUUGAAAGGUCCUCCAUUU
rnacentral:lncRNA from 1 species